rnacentral:rRNA from 1 species
AGAAUCAACGCUGGCGGCGUGCCUAACACAUGCAAGUCGAACGAGAAAGGGGAGCAAUCCCUGAGUACAGUGGCGACCGGGUGAGUAACACGUGACUAACCUACCCUCGAGUGUGGAAUAACAUCGGGAAACCGAUGCUAAUACCGCAUAACAUCGCAAGAUCAAAGGAGUAAUCCGCUUGAGGAGGGGGUCGCGGCUGAUUAGCUAGUUGGCGGGGUAAUGGCCCACCAAGGCGAAGAUCGGUAUCCGGCCUGAGAGGGCGCACGGACACACUGGAACUGAAACACGGUCCAGACUCCUACGGGAGGCAGCAGUGGGGAAUUUUGCGCAAUGGGGGAAACCCUGACGCAGCAACGCCGCGUGGAGGAUGAAGCCCCUUGGGGCUAAACUCCUUUCGACCAAGACGAUAAUGACGGUACUGGUGGAAGAAGCACCGGCUAACUCUGCGCCAGCAGCCGC